rnacentral:tRNA from 1 species
UCCCGUGUGGCUCAGUUGGUAGAGCAUGGUGUUUGCAACGCCAGGGUUGUGGGUUCGAUUCCUGCGGGGGAA